AUACGGCCAUAUCCCGUUGAAGCAUCGGUUCCCGUACAACAAUUGAAGUUAAGCCACGUCGAACUUGUUUAGUACCUAAAUGGGUGACCGCUUAGGAUUAUCAAGUGCUGUAA